CAGCCGCCGCGGUAAUACGUAGGGGGCGAGCGUUGUCCGGACUUAUUGGGCGUAAAGCGCGCGCAGGCGGUCCUUUAAGUCUGAUGUGAAAGCCCACGGCUCAACCGUGGAGGGUCAUUGGAAACUGGGGGGCUUGAGUGCAGGAGAGGAGAGCGGAAUUCCACGUGUAGCGGUGAAAUGCGUAGAGAUGUGGAGGAACACCAGUGGCGAAGGCGGCUCUCUGGCCUGUAACUGACGCUGAGGCGCGAAAGCGUGGGGAGCAAACAGGAUUAGAUACCCUGGUAGUCCACGCCGUAAACGAUGAGUGCUAAGUGUUAGAGGGGUCACACCCUUUAGUGCUGUAGCUAACGCGAUAAGCACUCCGCCUGGGGAGUACGGCCGCAAGGCUGAAACUUAAAGCAAUUGGCGGG
rnacentral:rRNA from 1 species